UUAAAUUGAAGAGUUUGAUCAUGGCUCAGAUUGAACGCUGGCGGCAGGCCUAACACAUGCAAGUCGAACGGUAACAGGAAGAAGCUUGCUUCUUUGCUGACGAGUGGCGGAC
rnacentral:rRNA from 2 species